UAGGGAAUAUUGCACAAUGGGCGAAAGCCUGAUGCAGCAACGCCGCGUGAGUGAUGAAGGCCUUCGGGUCGUAAAACUCUUUUCGGGGAGAUGAGGAAGGACAGUAUCCCCGGAAUAAGAUUCGGCUAACUACGUGCCAGCAGCCGCGGUAACACGUAGGAAUCGAGCGUUAUCCGAAUUUACUGGGCGUAAAGCGCGUGCAGGCGGUCUGAUAAGUUGGAUGUGAAAGCUCCUGGCUCAACUGGGAGAGGCCGUUCAAGACUGUCAGACUUGAGGAUGGUAGAGGAAGGUAGAAUUCCCGGUGUAGUAGUGAAAUGCGUAGAUAUCGGGAGGAAUACCAGUGGCGAAGGCGGCCUUCUGGACCAUUUCUGACGCUAAGACGCGAAAGCUAGGGGAGCGA
rnacentral:rRNA from 1 species